rnacentral:rRNA from 1 species
GUAGGUGGCAAGCGUUGUCCGGAAUUAUUGGGCGUAAAGCGCGCGCAGGCGGGUCCUUUAAGUCUGAUGUGAAAGCCCACGGGCUCAACCGUGGAGGGUCAUUGGAAACUGGGGGACUGGAGUACAGAAGAGGAAAGCGGAAUUCCAAGUGUAGCGGUGAAAUGCGUAGAGAUUUGGAGGAACACCAGUGGCGAAGGCGGCUUUCUGGUCUGUAACUGACGCUGAGGCGCGAAAGCGUGGGGAGCAAACAGGAUUAGAUACCCUGGUAGUCCACGCCGUAAACGAUGAGUGCUAAGUGUUAGGGGGUUUCCGCCCCUUAGUGCUGCAGCUAACGCAUUAAGCACUCCGCCUGGGGAGUACGGCCGCAAAGGCUG